CUCAAUCCAAAAACAUGAAUCAUUCCUGGACAAACAAUGCGUUCUGCCAAUGGCCCUCCACUAUGGGAUUUGCGAAGAAAAACUGGCUGCCGAACUUCCUCAAAAAGAACAAAAGGACUACAUGUUGACGAUGUCAUUGAUUUCUUUGCUGCAAAUCACAACAGUAGAUGGAUUAUCCUGAAGCGAAACGUCUGCUUCAUUAUUCAGUGAUGGAAUCUCACUGGAUCUGAAUAUCAAAACCAACUGGUUUCAAGAAUGUGAGCACUGCUGCAGAGUCGCCACAAGAUACAGUUCAGUUAAAAAGCAACAUCAGUUAUGUCAGCUCAGAAAUGGACUGAUCUGUUUUUUUUCCUAAUGUAAAAACGAUACAAUACAUUCUGUGAGUUCUUGUUUCAUUACAUAUAACAAAAAUGUUCCUUUCGGUCAUAUGUACAGUAAACGAUACAAUGCUUUUUUAUUGUAGUAAACCAGUACAUUUCGUAAGAGCUUUUUUUGUUAUCAAAAAGUUUGCAUUUGUUUACAAGUAAAUGACACACAACUGUCACAUUUAGUUUCUACUGAUUUUCUGUCAAUGAACGUUAUACCUUAAUAAAACAUUGCUCUUCCAUUCACUUCUCUUCUUUAUUCGCACUGUCAUAGGCGAAUGUUAAACCCAGUCCAUCUGUAUAUAUUUGUAUUCUCCUUUUGAGGGUAGGGUAACAAAGACACAACACAUGUUUUAGUAGUUCCUGUUAAAGCUAGUUCACUUCCUAAAUGCUACAGUGUGUGUGCCCACAAGAUGUCGAGUGCAGCCCCUCAAUUCUUUGUCUAGCCCACCUCAGCCCCCUCACUGGGAAGAGGCUGGCGCCGCCCCUGCACUACAGAUUUCCUACCUGUACCAAGAUGUCUAAACGUAAAUCAAAUCGUACUCAGCCAGCAGAGACGACCUUGUGGGAUCCUUCUGGGUACGAUGCGAUUGUGAGUCUAGGCCCUGAAAUGACAACAAUGUUGAAAUGACAUCGAAGGCGAUCAAACAGCAGCUCCUUAAUUCGUUUUUGGCAUUCCGUGAGGAAAAUAAGGAGAUGAUUGCUGCAUUGCAAGCCUCGCUUGAUGCCUGGGCUGGUCAGGUGAAGGAAGUGAAAGUCUCUCUGGCUAACGUGGACGAGAGAGUUGCUGAUCUGGAAUCCCUGUAUAGCAGUCUGGCCGAACAGAAUAAGUUGUUGUUAGCAAAAACUGGACUAUUUGGAAAACAGCUCCCACAGGCAAAAUGUGUGUGUUGUGAGGGUCCCUGAGGGGGAUGAACAACAGAACCCCAGAGUUCAUGCAAAACAUCCAAGGUCAAAGUCUUUGGCGUAGAUAGAAAUCUGUUCUCCACCUCUGAUUGACUCUGCGCAUCGUUCGCCAGGUCCCAGGAAAGACAUAGCUCAUCCCAGAUCCUUCACAGCGAGACUGCACCAGUUAAAAGAGCUUCCAGGGGGCGGCGCUCAAUUGGCCGAGCGCCGCCCGGGGGUUGGGAGGGUUAGGUCGGCCAGGGUGUCCUCGGCUCACCGUGCACCAGCGACCCCUGUAGUCUGACUGGGCGCCUGCAGGCUUGCCUGUAAGCUGCCCGAGAGCUGCGUUGUCCUCUUUUUUUCAAAUAACGUUUGUGUAAGAUGUGGCAGGUUAGAAUGCCUAAUUGAAUUCCAUGUGCAGCAUGUGGCUAGUCCUUUGUUCCUGUUUAUGUACCAGUGUGAGGACUCAUGACUGCGUGGAUAUUCAGGAAGACUGAACCAGAUGCUCAACCGAGGACCACCGUGUGUUACCCAUGAUCCUGAUGUUUAGUAAGGGGUAUUAGUUUAGGGGAUUUUAAUCCCAUAAAAGUUUAUUUAGAGGGAAGUGUC